AUUGGAACUAUCUAUUAUUUUGAUCUUCCACGAAUUUUAGACGGGAAUUGUAUUUAGUAUUUCAAAAUUAUUUGCAGGAAUUUUUCGCUAUGAAAAAUAUUGGCGUAUUUUGAAUGAGCACCGAAGAUUGGAAGACUAACUGCUAUCCCUAAAUUAAAGCGUUGAGCGCCAAAUAUCUGUCAAAAGUCCUCAUGUUCAUAUCUACGAUUUGUAUGAGACAUCCCACAAUAAUGCGGCAUCAACGUUGAACAAAUGAAUUUUCAAUUUUGACAGCGCGUUAUAUGAUAAAGUGCGAAAUAAAGGAGAAAAAACUGACGAAGAGUAAUAGGCAAUAGCUUGCAAAUGAAAUGAUAAAUAUUCCCGGAAAAAUUUAUUCAACUGGUGGAGGCACAAUUUAAUUCUUUAUGAUCACCAUUUUAUGGCAAUGCCCAUGAGGCCUGAACGAAUUAUUUCACCAAUUACUCAUGUUGUCAUACCACAGACAUGUCGAAGGUCAUAAUAAUCACUAAUUAAUUUUUAAGACCAAUAAUUCGCUAACGAUUUUUGCUAAUGAAUACUUUGAAACAACAAAAUGAACUUUUCAUUGCGAUAAAAGUAUUGAACAAACUAGUGUUGAAACUAGUUGAAUUGAGUGGAGUAUUUUCAAGAACGGAAUUACACAUUUUAGAGUGGAUUUUGCGUACUUAAGCCUUUCAUUGAUCCUCUGUCACGUUGUUCAACCAGGCGAGGAUUGACAAAGAAAAGAAGAACUAGAUUUAGCCGGAAAAAGCUAUAACGGCAACACUGGUGGCUCGGUAAUGAGACCAGUCUCCAAAUUAUCGGCACGAAAAGUCAACCACUUUGGGUAUAUUUCUGACAUGAAAUCAGAGCAACUCAUAAACAAAUCCAUUAACCGAUCCGAGGCGGCUAAAAAUGAACUUUAGGCUCCUUCAUUUAUUGGGAAAACAUCAAGUCCUACAACAUCAUUUUAAUUUAUUACACCGUAAAGAACAUCUUUUGGCAAUAAUUCAGCGUAAGCCGCAGGUAAUAUGGAUUUUUCGCGGUUUUGUGCUUUUUCUUUAGUGAUAUUUUGCGCUUUGGAAGUAUCUUCGUCGCUUCCAAAAACGGUAAAGCUACAACACUUAGCCUAAAAUGAAUGCCUAUAAAACUGUGAACUCUUUGUAAGGAUAUUGCAAUGAUUA